GCGAGUCUGAAUAGGGCGCAUAAGUAACAGGUCGUAGACCCGAAACCAGGUGAUCUACCCAUGUCCAGGAUGAAGGUAAGGUAAUACUUACUGGAGGUCCGAACCCACGCACGUUGAAAAGUGCGGGGAUGAGGUGUGGGUAGCGGAGAAAUUCCAAUCGAACUUGGAGAUAGCUGGUUCUCUCCGAAAUAGCUUUAGGGCUAGCCUCGAGGUAAAGAGUCAUGGAGGUAGAGCACUGUUUGGACUAGGGGCCCUUCUCGGGUUACCGAAUUCAGAUAAACUCCGAAUGCCAUGUACUUAUACUCGGGAGUCAGACUGCGAGUGAUAAGAUCCGUAGUCGAAAGGGAAACAGCCCAGACCACCAGUUAAGGUCCCCAAAUAUAUGUUAAGUGGAAAAGGAUGUGGGGUUGCUUAGACAACCAGGAUGUUGGCUUAGAAGCAGCCACCAUUGAAAGAGUGCGUAAUAGCUCACUGGUCGAGUGACCCCGCGCCGAAAAUGUACCGGGGCUAAACAUAUUACCGAAACUGUGGAUGAACCUCUUUAGAGGUUCGUGGUAGGAGAGCGUUCUAAGGGCGGUGAAGUCAGACCGGAAGGACUGGUGGAGCGCUUAGAAGUGAGAAUGCCGGUAUGAGUAGCGAAAGAAGGGUGAGAAUCCCUUCCACCGAAUAUCUAAGGUUUCCUGAGGAAGGCUCGUCCGCUCAGGGUUAGUCGGGACCUAAGCCGAGGCCGAUAGGCGUAGGCGAUGGACAACAGGUAGAGAUUCCUGUACCAGUGCUAAUUGUUUAACCGAUGGGGUGACACAGAAGGAUAGGGAAUCGCACGAAUGGAAAUGUGCGUCCAAGCAGUGAGUGUGAGAAGUAGGCAAAUCCGCUUCUCGCGAAGCAUGAGCUGUGAUGGGGAAGGAAAUUAAGUACGGAAGUUCCUGAUUUCACGCUGUCAAGAAAAGCCUCUAGGAAGAGUAGUACUGCCCGUACCGCAAACCGACACAGGUAGAUGAGGAGAGAAUCCUAAGGUGAGCGAGAGAACUCUCGUUAAGGAACUCGGCAAAAUGACCCCGUAACUUCGGGAGAAGGGGUGCUCUAUUAGGGUGCAAGCCCGAGAGAGCCGCAGUGAAUAGGCCCAGGCGACUGUUUAGCAAAAACACAGGUCUCUGCAAAACCGUAAGGUGACGUAUAGGGGCUGACGCCUGCCCGGUGCUGGAAGGUUAAGAGGAGUGCUUAGCUUCGGCGAAGGUACGAAUUGAAGCCCCAGUAAACGGCGGCCGUAACUAUAACGGUCCUAAGGUAGCGAAAUUCCUUGUCGGGUAAGUUCCGACCCGCACGAAAGGCGCAACGAUCUGGGCACUGUCUCAACGAGAGACUCGGUGAAAUUAUAGUACCUGUGAAGAUGCAGGUUACCCGCGACAGGACGGAAAGACCCCGUGGAGCUUUACUGCAACCUGAUAUGGAAUGUUUGUACCGCUUGUACAGGAUAGGUAGGAGCCGAAGAGACGUGUGCGCUAGCAUACGAGGAGGCAAUGGUGGGAUACUACCCUGG
rnacentral:rRNA from 1 species